rnacentral:rRNA from 1 species
CACGUAGGGCGCGAGCGUUGUCCGGAAUUAUUGGGCGUAAAGAGCUCGUAGGCGGCCUGUUGCGUCCGCUGUGAAAGCCCGGGGCUUAACCCCGGGUCGGCAGUGGAUACGGGCAGGCUAGAGGUAGGUAGGGGAGAAUGGAAUUCCCGGUGUAGCGGUGAAAUGCGUAGAGAUCAGGAGGAACACCCGUGGCGAAGGCGGCCCUCUGGCUCGACCCUGACGCUGAGGCGCGAAAGCGUGGGGAGCGAACGGG